rnacentral:rRNA from 1 species
AGAGUUUGAUCCUGGCUCAGGAUGAACGCUAGCGGCAGGCUUAACACAUGCAAGUCGAGGGGUAUAAUUCUUCGGAAUUAGAGACCGGCGCACGGGUGCGUAACGCGUAUGCAAUCUACCUUUUACAGCGGGAUAGCCCAGAGAAAUUUGGAUUAAUACCUCAUAGCAUAGCAGCUUCGCAUGAAGCCGCUAUUAAAGUCACAACGGUAAAAGAUGAGCAUGCGUCCCAUUAGCUAGUUGGUAAGGUAACGGCUUACCAAGGCUACGAUGGGUAGGGGUCCUGAGAGGGAGAUCCCCCACACUGGUACUGAGACACGGACCAGACUCCUACGGGAGGCAGCAGUGAGGAAUAUUGGACAAUGGGCGCAAGCCUGAUCCAGCCAUGCCGCGUGCAGGAUGACGGUCCUAUGGAUUGUAAACUGCUUUUAUACGAGAAGAAACACUCCAACGUGUUGGAGCUUGACGGUAUCGUAAGAAUAAGGAUCGGCUAACUCCGUGCCAGCAGCCGCGGUAAUACGGAGGAUCCAAGCGUUAUCCGGAAUCAUUGGGUUUAAAGGGUCCGUAGGCGGUUUAAUAAGUCAGUGGUGAAAGCCCAUCGCUCAACGGUGGAACGGCCAUUGAUACUGUUAAACUUGAAUUAUUAGGAAGUAACUAGAAUAUGUAGUGUAGCGGUGAAAUGCUUAGAGAUUACAUGGAAUACCAAUUGCGAAGGCAGGUUACUACUAAUUGAUUGACGCUGAUGGACGAAAGCGUGGGUAGCGAACAGGAUUAGAUACCCUGGUAGUCCACGCCGUAAACGAUGGAUACUAGCUGUUGGGAGCAAUCUCAGUGGCUAAGCGAAGUGAUAAGUAUCCCACCUGGGGAGUACGUUCGCAAGAUUAAAACUCAAAGGAAUUGACGGGGGCCCGCACAAGCGGUGGAUGAUGUGGUUUAAUUCGAUGCAACGCGAAAAACCUUACCUACCCUUGACAUGCUAGGAACCUCGCAGAGAUGUGAGGGUGCCCGAAAGGGAACCUGGACACAGGUGCUGCAUGGCCGUCGUCAGCUCGUGUCGUGAGAUGUUGGGUUAAGUCCCGCAACGAGCGCAACCCUUGCCAUUAGUUGCUACAUUCAGUUGAGCACUCUAAAGGGACUGCCGGUGACAAACCGGAGGAAGGUGGGGAUGACGUCAAGUCUUCAUGGCCCUUAUGGGUAGGGCUACACACGUCAUACAAUGGCGGAUACAGAGGGUUGCCAACCCGCGAGGGGGAGCUAAUCUCAGAAAGUCCGUCGCAGUCCGGAUUGCAGUCUGCAACUCGACUGCAUGAAGUCGGAAUCGCUAGUAAUCGCGGAUCAGCAUGUCGCGGUGAAUACGUUCCCGGGCCUUGUACACACCGCCCGUCACACCAUGGGAGUGGGGUUCACCAGAAGCAGGUUGCCUAACCGCAAGGAGGGCGCCUACCACGGUGAGCUUCAUGACUGGGGUGAAGUCGUAACAAGGUA